rnacentral:tRNA from 1 species
GAAACUUAGGAUAACCUGCCUUAAACCAAGGGCCUUCAAAGCCCCAAAUAAGAGUUAAACUCUCUUAGUUUCUGC